GCAUGAAGUCGGAAUUGCUAGUAAUCGCGGAUCAGCAUGCCGCGGUGAAUACGUUCCCGGGCCUUGUACACACCGCCCGUCACACCAUGGGAGCCGGUAAUACCCGAAGUCAGUAGUCCAACCACGUGAGGACGCUGCCGAAGGUAGGAUUGGCGACUGGGGUGAAGUCGUAACAAGGUACC
rnacentral:rRNA from 1 species